rnacentral:pre_miRNA from 1 species
UUUAAAUGCAACUAUAAGUUUUCGCACCCAACUUUAAUCGUUCGUCUUAUUUAAAAUUAUUUUAUAAUUAGUAUUUUUGUUGUUAUAAGAUGAUAAAAUAUGAAUAGUACUUUACUCGUGACUUACGUUUUUUAGUUUUUUUUUCAAAUAAGAUGAACGGUUAAAGUUGGGCAAGAAAAACCAUGGCUGCACUUAAA